rnacentral:rRNA from 1 species
GUGUCAGCAGCCGCGGUAAGACGAAGGACCCGAGCGUUAUCCGGAUUCAUUGGGUUUAAAGGGUGCGUAGGCGGACUGAUAAGUCAGUGGUGAAAGCUCACAGCUUAACUGUGAAAUUGCCAUUGAUACUGUCAGUCUUGAGUAUAGCUGAUGUGGACGGAAUAUGACAUGUAGCGGUGAAAUGCUUAGAUAUGUCAUAGAACACCGAUUGCGAAGGCAGUUCACAAAACUAUAACUGACGCUGAGGCACGAAAGCGUGGGGAUCAAACAGGAUUAGAUACCCUGGUAGUCC